AAUGUCUCUUUCACCAGCCUGACAGUCACAUUCACACUGAUGGAGCAUUAGGGGACUUUUAUUCUGUCAGCUGAGAAACACCUGAUCAAUAAUCAUGAGCGCUGACUCUCCUUCACACACAGCCUUUCUGACAGAAGAUCUUCAGUCAAUAUAUUGCUUCAUGUGAAUGAGUAAUCAGGGUUAUUUUCAGAUGCAUGUGUAGUAAAUACAUCAGCCCCAGGUCUCUUACAGUAAACUGCUGAAUACAUGCUUAUAGUGUGUCUUCAUAUUAUUGUAGUGGUUUAGAUCAGUGGUCCCCAACCCCCAGGCAGGUGCUGGUGCGUGGAUCAAUCAGAACCGGGCUGAACAAGAAUUAAUUAUCUUUAAGUU
ensembl:processed_transcript